AGUAAGUGACCCAAUACAGAGCAAGGAGGAAGCUCCAGCGCCUCUGACCCAGUCUCAAAAGUGACAGGCCAUCCCUUCCACCACAUUCCAUUCAUUCAUCCCCAGAAGCAAGUUACCAGGUCUGGCUCAUAAGGGGAGAAUUAGGCUAUAUCUUUUGAAGGAGAAGGAUCAGAAAGUUUGCGGAUGUGUUUUAAAUCCACCGCUAGACCCCAGAGAAGUGGUGAAAAUGGAAUGUCCUGUGUGGUAGGACUGUGACUCUCAGGCUAUGUCCCC
rnacentral:lncRNA from 10 species